rnacentral:rRNA from 1 species
CUCCUACGGGAGGCAGCAGUCGGGAAUAUUGCACAAUGGGCGAAAGCCUGAUGCAGCGACGCCGCGUGAGCGAAGAAGUAUUUCGGUAUGUAAAGCUCUAUCAGCAGGGAAGAUAAUGACGGUACUUGAGGAGGAAGCCCCGGCUAACUACGUGCCAGCAGCCGCGGUAAUA